AUAGCAAGCGGGAANCCACCCGAUCCCAUUCCGAACUCGGAAGUGAAAACGCUUUGCGCCGAUGGUAGUGUGGGGUCUCCCCAUGUGANGAGUAGGACACCGCCAGGCUU
rnacentral:rRNA from 1 species